CUUUGCUUCGUUCUUCCUGCUUUCAAUAUAUUUAAGUACAUCCAAACUAGUGAAGAAAGACAGUGAAAUUAGUUUAAAUUAUAAAGGACUUUCUGAGACAGUAGUAGUUUGCUCCCUAAAUGCUUAUGUGGUUGAAAAUGCUGUGUCCUGAUUGGCAGAUCGUCUGGGUGUGAUCGGUCACAAUGUGAUUGAUUGACUGCAGGAGAAGCUGGCUAUCGUGCUGAAGGUCCACAUCUACUCUAAGAGGCCCAAGCUUGAGAAACACCUGCUGUACCCUAACAUUCUGGUGUGUCUGACGGAUAUGAGGACUGUGAAUGAGGAGUAUACCAAACAGGUCCUGCAGAUUCUGGACAUCCAGCCAGACAACUCAUUUGACCCAAUCAUCCUGCAGGUGGUCAGCAAGGACCCCUGAGUCAGCCGCACACAGACAGGCAUCAGCAUGGAUGCCUAAAUCACUUUGACAUCUAGCUAAAUCCUCCAUCCUCAGACUGAUAUAGGAUGGAUGCCCAAAUAAAUGUAACAGGGAUCAACAGAGACAUCUAACCAAGGAUCCAAAGAUCUGUAAAACUGCCUAUGUGGCAAGAAUUAAGCUUUUAUUUAAUUCAAAUAUAUGACUGUUUGUGAAAAUGCCCGAAAAAAAGAGCUAUGCGUUUCAUAUUCAUUGUGUGCACGCUUGUAUGUUUUUUCAAUUUUUAUAUUAGCCAUAAUUCAAUUACUGGUAUGCAUUUUGACAAUUCAAAACAAUUGUCAAAGACUCAUACUUGUUUUUAAAGCACUAAUCCAAAAUCCUCUUAUACAGGAAUGCACAAAGGACAUUGUUCAGUACAUGAUGUGUAUUCAAAGGGAUUUAUCUGUGCCCUGUUCCUACAGAAUUUAAGGAGUGAUUUUGUUUACUGUGAAAAAACACUAAUUGGCUGCUGUAAUCUCGUUCCUUAAAUCUGGUCAAGUGCCUCCUGAUCCGCGAUAGGGCGAAACAUCGCCACUGGCCACCCCAGUGGCACUAGUGUUUUUGUUUUGAAGAAAUGAGCAUCCAGCAUCAUAGUAAAAAAUAUAUAUUACAUGGAAAAAACAUUGUUGUUUGAAGUAACGUAUUUGUUGUUGUAAUAUUGGGAAAUGGACGUGGCAGUUUCACCACUAUGGAUUCCAGCGUUAAAUGUGAGAUAAAAUCAUCAGUCUAGUCCAGGGGUAGGCAACGCUGAACGCUGGUCCCGGAGUGCUGCAUUAACUUCAUGUUUUUCAUUUAACCAACGUGGAAGACCAGGUGUGUUGAAUUUAGUCAAUCAUUGAACUGAUCAAUGAGCUCAGUUGGUCUGGUGUGGUACGUAGACAAAGUCCUGCAGUACCUGUGGCAUCCCAGGAACAGGGUUGUCUACCCCUGAUCUAUUCCAUAUCAAUUGACCCUCAUUGCAGAACUGUGUGUGUGAAAAUAACAAUUAGAAUCAAAGUGUGAUAGAAAAUCUUAUGUGAUGAAGAAUGUUACAAAUGUAGGUACAUGUAUUCUGUGAAGGUUGGGUUGUGUUUUCUUGACAAGAACAGUACAGGUACAUGUAUUCUGUGAAGGUUGGGUUGUGUUUUCUUGACAAGAACAGUACAGGUACAUGUAUUCUGUGAAGGUUGGGUUGUAUUUUCUUGACAAGAACAGUACAGGUACAUGUAUUCUGUGAAGGUUGGGUUGUGUUUUCUUGACAAGAACAGUACAUGGACAUGUGUUUGGCUUUGUGAGUGUUGGGUCAACGUUGUUUUCUGUCAUAAAUGUUUAUCUUCCUGUGUGGUGUAACACUAGCAGACACAGGGCUGCAGUCACACUCAUGGCCAGCACUCGCCACCUUGGACCUCCGCCUUGUGACCAGCACUGCCUACCAAUAACCUCUGGUCUACAGUUCCUCAGGCUGUCCUUCUAUUCGGGUAUAGUAACACAGAUUUUACUCGUCUGAAAUGUACUGAUUGUGACCACACACAAGAUGUCUGGAAAACAGUUGAGACGAGUAGAACUUUUGACCGACAAAAAAGCAUUUGCGUUUGAAUGUCUGUGUGGCCUUAGCCUUACGCUGUUUUGUUGGAAAGCUGUUAUAUGUAAAACAAAUGUGACCAAACAUGAAUUUUAUAUUUAAAUUGUCAUAUCAACCUGAAAUGCUCUAUUGUA